rnacentral:rRNA from 1 species
AUUGAACGCUGGCGGCGUGCCUAACACAUGCAAGUCGAGCGGUAACAGGUGUAGCAAUACAUGCUGACGAGCGGCGAACGGGUGAGUAAUGCUUCGGAAUCUGCCCAUGUAGUGGGGAAUAACCAGCCGAAAGGUUGGCUAAUACCGCAUACGACCUACGGGUGAAAGCAGGGGAUCGCAAGACCUUGCGCUAUUGGAUGAGCCGAAGUCGGAUUAGCUAGUUGGUAGGGUAACGGCCUACCAAGGCGACGAUCCGUAGCUGGUCUGAGAGGACGACCAGCCACACUGGGACUGAGACACGGCCCAGACUCCUACGGAGGCAGCAGUGGGAAUAUUGGACAAUGGGCGCAAGCCUGAUCCAGCCAUGCCGCGUGUGUGAAGAAGG